ACGCUCGACACCUACGGGAGGGAGCAGUGGGGAAUAUUGCACAAUGGGGGAAACCCUGAUGCAGCGACGCCGCGUGGAGGAAGAAGGUCUUCGGAUUGUAAACUCCUGUUGUUGGGGAAAAAGAGGAUGGUACCCAACAAGGAAGUGACGGCUAACUACGUGCCAACAGCCGCGGUAAUCUGAGCGGGCUGGCAAGGC
rnacentral:rRNA from 1 species